AGCGAACGCUGGCGGCAGGCCUAACACAUGCAAGUCGAGCGCCCCGCAAGGGGAGCGGCAGACGGGAGAGUAACACGUGGGAACGUGCCCUUCAGUUCGGAACAACCAAGGGAAACUUUGGCUAAUACCGAAUACGCCCUUACGGGGAAAGAUUUAUCGCUGAAGGAUCGGCCCGCGUCUGAUUAGCUAGUUGGUGGGGUAAUGGCCCACCAAGGCGACGAUCAGUAGCUGGUCUGAGAGGAUGAUCAGCCUCACUGGGACUGAGACACGGCCCAGACUCCUACGGGAGGCAGCAGUGGGGAAUAUUGGACAAUGGGCGCAAGCCUGAUCCAGCCAUGCCGCGUGGGUGAUGAAGGCCUUAGGGUUGUAAAGCCCUUUCGGCGGGGAAGAUAAUGACGGUACCCGCAGAAGAAGCCCCGGCUAACUUCGUGCCAGCCGCCGCGGUAACAC
rnacentral:rRNA from 1 species